CUGACAGCCCUGGAGACUGAAGGCUUCUGUCUAGCCACAUACCAAGUACAGCAAAAGGCAGCUGGAGUGUGAGCUUUCCCCACGGCAGUGCUUCAGUGUGAACAUGGGAAGAGGGGAAUUCCAUCCCCUGGCCCAUUCAGUCCUGGAAUUUC
rnacentral:sRNA from 1 species